rnacentral:rRNA from 1 species
AACGAACGCUGGCGGCAUGCCUAACACAUGCAAGUCGAACGAGACCUUCGGGUCUAGUGGCGCACGUUUGCGUAACGCGUGGGAACCUUCCCUUAUGUUCGGAAUAACUCCCCGAAAGGGGUGCUAAUACCGGAUAAUGUCUUCGGCCCAAAGAUUUAUCGCCUUUGGGUGGGCCCGCGUUGGAUUAGCUAGUUGGUAGGCUAAAAGCCUACCACGGCGACGAUCCAUAGCUGGUCUGAGAGGAUGAUAAGCCACACUGGGACUGAGACACGGCCCAGAAUACUACGGGAGGCAGCAGUGGGGAAUAUUGGACAAUGGGCGAAAGCAUGAUAAAGCAAUGCCGCGAGAGUGAUGAAGGCAUUAGGGUUGAAAAGCUCUUUUAACCGGGAAGAUAAUGACAGUACCGGGAGAAUAAGCUCCGGCUAACUCCGUG